AGUUAUGAUACCAAGUUUUGUUGCUAAUUUGGCAUUGAACAAAAUGGGCAUCAAACAAUUUGGGAGCUAAUUUGUCGCUAAAAAGCGGGUUGUGUUAAAAAAACUGACAAUUUAGUAGUUGAAAUGUAGAAAAGCAUUUAAAAUUGAUCGUCUAAAAAACAUUUGAACAUUGUUUUACAUUUUUAACAAAAGGUUAUAUUUUAACAGCGUUUUUUAAUAAAGACAUCUUUCCACAUUGUUUAAAAGCCUUUUAUUUUGAACCAAAGCAGACAGUUGUUGGAAAGCCACAGAUUACUUCUUUAGCUAAACCCUUUUUUUUUCAUCUGUUGUUGGUGGCUGGCAAAACUGAUCACCGAUCUGAAUCAGUGGACGACAAUACUGGAGAGAAGCCUGAAAUCGAAGCCAUCAUGGCCGCCAGCUCCGACUCCCUCCCGUUAGCGGAGAUUGAACGGGCUGUAACGGCGGGUGUGCGGGCUGAGGCUCCGCUUCAAACUGCUGUUCCGUCGUGAACACCAUUAAUGAGGAGUUAAGUAGGUUUCAAUGGAAUAUUUCUGUGGAGUAUUAGUUAGCUAACUUUACUAGCUAGCCGAAGUUACGUCCACGCUAUAAACGAAGGUUUCCAGGUCAGAUGUGGGCGGAGCUGUGCGCACUGUGUGAGGUGGUUUUACACUCGGCGAACGUUUAACAUUUAUAUUUAACAUUUUAAUUUAUGCUUUUGCACAUUUAAGUAAAUGCGAGAACACCAGUUACGGGUGCGCCCUUUAUAUUUAGCACCCCAUAUGGUAUUACCUACAAAACAAAAUAUUUUUUUAGCGUUAGAGUUGCCGCCAGUCAAUCGUGCACAAGCUAAUGCUACGCCUGUUACUAAUGUAAGCUAAUGCUACAUCCAACACUCCAACACACAAACUCCAACAGACAACAGGGGUCCGUUUCAAGAAGGAGGUUUAAGAAACUCUAAGUUUAAACCUGAACUCUGAGUUGACUUACACUGAGUUUGAAAACCUGGAGGUUUCGGUUUUAGAACAGCUGAGAAGAUUUGGUUUAAGCAACUCCGAGUUGAUUGACUCAGAAUUAAGCGCGUGCACCGCGACGACACAAAGCCCUGAUCUAUGGAGUGACGCUAUUACGAGUCACCAUGGCAACAGGACAACAAAAGAGGUCCGGAAAUGGAUAUGAUACUUCAAGCAAAUAGCGACUACGAGUCUAUAAUCCGUAGAAAAAGCAACACGGCCGCAGCGGCGAAAGAGAAAGAAUUAGCUUGGAAAAAAAUAGCUGCCCUAGUCAAUGCUUUCAAUUCUGCGGGCAUGAAAGGACGUGGCAGCAGCUAAAAAUGCCAUAUAGAAACAUGAUUCAAACAGGUAAGGCACGAUUAUAUCUAAAUAAAUAUUUGACAUAUUAAAUAACUAAAUAGCAUAGUAAAGCCGUGCAGCAGCAUUUUCAACAUGGGUGUAAUGUUUUCACACAGUUAAAUCAUUUGACUUCUACUCAGCCAACAGAAAGAAGGCAGAGGCUAGAACAACUGGUGGAGGACCUGCACCUCCACCACUGACGCAUGCAGAGUGCAUGAACUCAGCCUGAACACUGGAAAGCAGCGGCUGAAGGAAUUCCUAGAGGGAGUUCAUCAAAACCAGUCACUCCCCAGGAUACAAGUGCAUUUGUAAAAUAUCUCACACUUUUAAUGAAAGAUGAGAAGCAGAUUUACCUGGAGACCACCUUCAGAAGAUCUGGGUCCAGCCACAGGUAAAAACGUUCCCAGUGGGGAGCCAAUCAGUAAAUCCACGCAUUCAAACCCAACACGGUCCAAGCUACACGACAGACUGCCUGUUGUUUGCCAGUCCAACAGGGUAAUAGGUGAAGGCAUGGUGUGAGGAUCGGGGAUAAAACCAGUCAACGGUGACAUGAGGGGGAGGAGGGAACGCCAACAGGAAGUGGUGCAGUGUCAAAACCAAAGUGUUGUGUAAAUAUAGUUUAAUUUUAGUUAACUUCAGUCAAAAGAAAAGCAGCUUUUAAUGUAUUUACAGUAAAUUUAAACAGCAGCAGUUUGAUAGUAAAAGACACACAUUCAACUUUUGCCUACUCUCAUUCACAUGUUGAUCAGCAGCGUGGGACAGCGCACAGCUUAUGUGGCACAGGAGGAAUAGUGGAGCCCACAGCUGGUGUCAGAUCCAGUUCCUCCUCUGUGACUCCAGGUGGAGGAGUGAAGCGGAAGCGCUGCAGGAGGCAGGUGAAGAAGAGGAACAGCUCCAUCUUGGCGAGGCUCUCGUUGUUGACUUCAGGAGAGUUUUCACGCUCAGCAUGCUUUUUUGACUAUCAGCAACGUGACGGUGGAAACAGUGAGAAGCAUCAUGUGGUCUGACAGCAUCGCAGAAAACCUGGUCUGACAACAUCGCAUCACUGGCCAAGCGUUCACAGCAGCGCUCCCCAUCGUGCACACCUUUUACAGGACCCCCCCCUCCUCAAACAAUUCUUUUUUUAGCUGGGACUGCAAUGGAACAAAAUAGUCAAAUGGUCUGAGGGAGACAUUUCUUGUGCUGCGUCAACAGGCUGAUCUGGGUAACAGCAUCAAAUGACAUAACCCCCCCAGAGCCUUUGAAAGGGUUGGCAACCUGUGGGUGGGAUUUCGCAAUGAACAAACUUGUGGUCACUGGUGCAUGUUCCCGGCUGCUCGGAGCAGUGACCAUGUGUCCAAAUUGAGUAAACAGGUUGGAACGAUGUACCAACACACAGGGUAAACAGAUUGUGCUGUGCUCUCUCACCAACCUGAGAAACAAAUGUUGUGUGUGUGUGCCUGCGGGCUCAAUUUUCCACAGGGUUUGACUGAACAGGCACGUUAAACACAACGUGUAAAUCCCUCCUCUUUGGCAGCUACCUACUAAGCAGAGGGUAUGUGGAAGAACAGGACAUUCACCUGGCAGCUUCUCAGAAUUCAGGUGCAUCUAAUUUCAGACACGGGGACUGUGUUUUGUUUCCAACGCCUGUAAUCGUUUCAUCACAUGUGGCCAGUACAGAGUGAACUUUUUCUUUAAACUGGUUAAACCAGGUUUAUCCUCAGGAAUGGGGCCUGUGGGUGGCGUAAACACACGGCUGGGUGGACCUUGACUUGAUAUUUCCAGGCAAACAUUACCACCUUUCUUUUAUGAUUUUGUUUAUUAACUGAAACUCUGACAUUGAGAUGCAAUUACGGUUAAACAUUGUUUCAUGAAGAAAGAAUUAGACAAGAUGUGAAUGUUUGCUCCAUUUGCGUAGAGCCUCAUUUAUUAAAAAAGUGAUACAUAUACAGUUGACAGUCAGUUCCAUGGUACAGUACAUUACAGUUACUUUGAUGACAGCUCCCUUUUAUAAUAUGAUACAGUCUAGUUCUGCUAAGUCAGUCUUUCUUUAGUCCGUAGCACAAACGUGUCUUUUUUUGCUUAGACUCUUUACCCCAAAUCAUCAUUGAUUCAAGUCAUACAUGUAAGGAGAUGGUGUGCAAAUGUAACAACAGUGAGAUUAAAUCCACUAAAAAUCAAUAAGCAUUUUUAUAUAUGCAUGUCCUGGAAUGACAAACUGUAAAAAAAAAAAAAUCAGACGAAGAUGUAAAAAAACUAAGUUGAUUAAAACAAGUGUUCUUCUGCUUUUGUGUUUAACAAUACAUUCAUAUCACAUGUGUGAAGUCAUAGACGUACAUAUAUAGUAUUUGGACCAUCUUUGUAGUAAAAUAAUAAUUUCACUAGCCAUAGCAUUCUUGGGUCUUGAUGCAUUUCCCAACAUUCCUACAGUAAGGUUUGUCCACUGUACAAAAGCAAUCUCUGCUUGACUGUUACGCUUCGCUCCUGUAACACACUUUCAUAUAUUGUAAAUUAAUUCAGAAGCCACACACACACACACACACACACACACACACACACACACACACACACACACACACACACACACACACACACACACACACACACACACACACACACACACACACACA